rnacentral:rRNA from 1 species
GAUGAACGCUGGCGGCGUGCCUAAUACAUGCAAGUCGAGCGAACGGACGAGAAGCUUGCUCCUCUGAUGUUAGCGGCGGACGGGUGAGUAACACGUGGAUAACCUACCUAUAAGACUGGGAUAACUUCGGGAAACCGUAGCUAAUACCGGAUAAUAUUUUGAACCGCAUGGUUCAAAAGUGAAAGACGGUUUUGCUGUCACUUAUAGAUGGAUCCGCGCUGCAUUAGCUAGUUGGUAAGGUAACGGCUUACCAAGGCAACGAUGCGUAGCCGACCUGAGAGGGUGAUCGGCCACACUGGAACUGAGACACGGUCCAGACUCCUACGGGAGGCAGCAGUAGGGAAUCUUCCGCAAUGGGCGAAAGCCUGACGGAGCAACGCCGCGUGAGUGAUGAAGGUCUUCGGAUCGUAAAACUCUGUUAUUAGGGAAGAACAGAUGUGUAAGUAACUGUGCACGUCUUGACGGUACCUAAUCAGAAAGCCACGGCUAACUACGUG